CCCUUAGAUGUCCUGGGCCGCACGCGUGCUACACUGAUGCAUACAGCGAGCACUUCCCGGCCCCGAAAGGCGGCUGGUAAUCAGCAAUAUGCAUCGUGAUGGGGAUAGUUCUUUGGAAUUCUUGAACUUGAACGAGGAAUGCCUAGUAGGCGCACGUCAUUACCGUGCGUCGAUUAAGUCCCUGCCCUUUGUACACACCGCCCGUCGCUCCUACCGAUUCGAGUGAUCCGGUGAACCCUUUGGACCGAGGCAGCUUGCUGUUUUGGAAAAUCGAGUAAACCACGUCACUUAGAGGAAGGAGAAGUCGUAACA
rnacentral:rRNA from 1 species